AGAGGUGAACGCUGGCGGCAGGCCUAAUACAUGCAAGUCGAACGGCAGCACAGCAGAGCUUGCUCUGGUGGGUGGCGAGUGGCGGACGGGUGAGGAAUACAUGGGAAUCUGCCCAGUCGUGGGGAUAACGUAGGGAAACUUACGCUAAUACCGCAUGCGCCCUUCGGGGGAAAGCCGGGGACCUUCGGGCCUGGCGCGAUUGGAUGAGCCCAUGUCGGAUUAGCUAGUUGGCGGGGUAAUGGCCCACCAAGGCGACGAUCCGUAGCUGGUCUGAGAGGAUGAUCAGCCACACUGGAACUGAGACACGGUCCAGACUCCUACGGGAGGCAGCAGUAGGAAUAUUGGACAAUGGGCGCAAGCCUGAUCCAGCCAUGCCGCGUGAGUGAAGAAGGCCCUCGGGUUGUAAAGCUCUUUUGUCCGGAAAGAAAAGCGCCGGGUUAAUACCCUAGUGUCCUGACGGUACCGGAAGAAUAAGCACCGGCUAACUUCGUG
rnacentral:rRNA from 1 species